rnacentral:rRNA from 1 species
GAUGAACGCUGGCGGCGUGCCUAACACAUGCAAGUCGAGCGAUUUACUUCGGUAAAGAGCGGCGGACGGGUGAGUAACGCGUGGGUAACCUGCCCUGUACACACGGAUAACAUACCGAAAGGUAUGCUAAUACGAGAUAAUAUGCUUUUAUCGCAUGGUAGAAGUAUCAAAGCUUUUGCGGUACAGGAUGGACCCGCGUCUGAUUAGCUAGUUGGUGAGGUAACGGCUCACCAAGGCGACGAUCAGUAGCCGACCUGAGAGAGUGAUCGGACACAUUGGAACUGAGACACGGUCCAAAAUCCUACGGGAGGCAGCAGUGGGGAAUAUUGCAAAAUGGGCGAAAGCCUGAUGCAGCAACGCCGCGUGAGCGAUGAAGGCCUUAGGGUAGUAAAGCUCUGUACUCAAGGAAGAUAAUGACGGUACUUGAGGAGGAAGCCCCGGCUAACUACGUG